UACGUAGGGUGCGAGCGUUGUCCGGAAUUAUUGGGCGUAAAGAGCUCGUAGGCGGUGUGUCACGUCGGCCGUGAAAACCUGCAGCUUAACUGUGGGCGUGCGGUCGAUACGGGCAUCACUGGAGUUCGGCAGGGGAGACUGGAAUUCCUGGUGUAGCGGUGAAAUGCGCAGAUAUCAGGAGGAACACCGGUGGCGAAGGCGGGACUCUGGGCCGAUACUGACGCUGAGGAGCGAAAGCGUGGGGAGCGAACAGG
rnacentral:rRNA from 1 species